AGUCAAAUAGCUUAAUUUAAAGCAUGUAUUUUGAAAAUACAAGAAAAAGGAUCAAUACCUUUAUUGACUU
rnacentral:tRNA from 1 species